UCAGUACAGGUGGUGCAUGGCUGUCGUCAGCUCGUGUCGUGAGAUGUUGGGUUAAGUCCCGCAACGAGCGCAACCCUUAUUCUUAGUUGUCUUCCCUUUGGGAUUACCCUCUAAGAAGACUGCCUCGGAUAACGGGGAGGAAGGUGGGGAUGACGUCAAGUCCGCAUGCUCCUUACGUCUAGGGCUACACACGUCCUACAAUGGGGUCGACAAUGGGAUGCAAUAUCGCAAGAUGGAGCCAAUCCCCCAAACGGCCUCUCAGUUCGGAUUGUAGUCUGCAACUCGACUACAUGAAGUUGGAAUCGCUAGUAAUGGCAGAUCAGCAUGCUGCCGUGAAUACGUUCCCGGGUCUU
rnacentral:rRNA from 1 species